rnacentral:rRNA from 1 species
CGGACGGGUGAGUAACGCGUGGGUGACCUGCCCCAUACCGGGGGAUAACAGCUGGAAACGGCUGCUAAUACCGCAUAAGCGCACAGAGCUGCAUGGCUCAGUGUGAAAAACUCCGGUGGUAUGGGAUGGGCCCGUGUCUGAUUAGGCAGUUGGCGGGGUAACGGCCCACCAAACCGACGAUCAGUAGCCGGCCUGAGAGGGCGACCGGCCACAUUGGGACUGAGACACGGCCCAA